AUUUUCUUUUUAACGAUGUGUGCAUGUGCUCGCUUUCUUUCACGAGUAAUACCCGGACAAAGAUCAUAUCUGAAUAUGUUGAACACAUUAUAUAUCCUGGCUUUGUGCGCAUUGUGCAGCAAGAAUAUUCAAGCGACUCCGGUAGGAUAUACGAUUACGGCAGAAAACGACGAAACUGUGGUACUGGCGCAGACAGAAGAAGAGUUCAGAGAUGAUUGGAAUUACAAAUUACAACAAAGCAACAUACCAUUAUUAACCGCCCUAAUAAAAAAUCACACUUUACCACCGACGGCUGAUGGCAGUACUGGCAGACUCUUGUGGGGCCUGGAUCAAGAUAAGUCGUCCCACUUACCGCCUUUCGUGGACAAAGCAUUGAAACUGUUAAAUUUAAAGCAGGUCGCCUUUGAAAUUGAGAAUUCUGUCAUGUCUAAAGUAUCAUGCACGGCUUGUCGGGCAGGUGCUGGUUUGCUUCAACAUUACACCAAAACGGGAAAAUCUGAGAAGGAAAUAAAAAAGACCAUUUACCAAUUUUGUGUCAAUCUAAAAAUCCAAUCCUCGAGAGUGUGUGAAGGAAUAACCGAGCUAUUCGCUGGUGAAGUGAUCUACGUUCUGGGAAAAGUGAAUAUUGGACCAGAUGAAAUUUGCAGUUUUGUAAUUGGAGAUGCUUGUGGCGAUGUCUACAAUCCAUACCAUGAGUGGGAAGUGGUUUUUCCACCAGUUCCAAAACCUCCAGUUGUUGAACCAAACGUUCCAGAAGCAAAUGCCCCAACUUUCAAAGUUUUGCACAUAUCGGACACCCAUUACGAUCCUUAUUAUAUGGAAGGUGCAAACGCAGACUGUUCAGAGCCUCUUUGCUGCAGAUUAACCAACGGACAAGCUCUAACAAAAGAAUCUGCGGCUGGCAAAUGGGGUGAUUAUAGGAAGUGUGAUACUCCCAAAAUUACCGUCGACAACAUGUUGCAACACAUACAAGAUACUCACCCUGAUAUAGAUUACAUUAUGUGGACGGGAGAUUUGCCACCUCACGACAUAUGGAAUCAGACAAAGGACGAAAAUAUCAAAAUUCUAAAAGAAACGGUCAAGCAAAUGUCGAUUAUGUUCCCAGGCAUACCGAUAUUUCCAGCUUUAGGCAAUCAUGAAGCUGCUCCUGUAAACAGCUUUCCUCCACCUUUUGUAAGCAAUCCCGAUAGUUCCAUCGCUUGGCUCUAUGAUGAACUUGAUGCUCAAUGGCGCAAAUGGUUACCGAGCUCCGUGAGCAAUACAGUCCGAAGAGGAGCGUUUUACUCAGUAUUAGUCAGGCCUGGAUUUAGGCUCAUUUCACUGAACAUGAAUUAUUGCAAUAACAAGAACUGGUGGCUACUUCUAAACAGUACCGAUCCAGCUACUGAGCUGCAGUGGUUUAUUUAUGAGCUACAAUCGGCUGAAUUCAAUGGCGAAAAAGUGCAUGUGAUUGGCCAUAUUCCACCAGGUCACUCAGAUUGUUUAAAAGUUUGGUCCAGAAAUUAUUAUGCCAUUAUUAGUCGCUACGAAUCCACAAUUAUUUCACAAUUUUUUGGACACACUCACUAUGAUGAAUUUGAAGUGUUUUACGAUCAUACAGAUUUAGCCAGACCGAUAAAUGUCGCUUAUGUUGGCCCGUCAGUAUCUCCUUACUACGAUCUGAAUCCAGGGUACCGCAUUUACUACGUGGAUGGAGAUCAUGACAAAACAACUCGGGCAGUUGUUGAUCAUGAAACCUGGACUAUGAAUCUAAAGGAGGCAAACAUCUACGGAUACCCGAUUUGGUUUCAGUUGUACAGUGCGAGACAAUCGUUCGGGAUGGACUCUUUAAGACCUCGAGAUUGGGAUGAUUUUGUAGAACGAAUGACCAACGACCCCAAAUUAUUUGAGUUGUUUUACAAGUAUUAUUUCAAAGCUAGUCCGGUAAGACCAAUGUGCGAUAUGGAAUGCAAGAAGAAAAUUCUAUGCGAUUUACAUUCGGGACGUUCUCACGACCGCAAGAAUUUAUGCCAAUCUAUUGAAUCGCGAAUAGAUUCAACAUCCACCACAUGGAGAGAUUGGUUCUACAACACCAUUUCUGUCUCGUACGUAUACAUCGAAUCUUAAGCGUUCUUAAAAUUCGAACGGUUCUGGUGAAAUUAACCAACGGAAACUUUAUCGCUUUUGUAAAUAUAUUUUCCACUAAUAACUUUUUAUUAUAGUCUGGUGUAGGAAUCCAGGACGUUUUUGUCCAACACAUUUGGCAUUGGCGUUUAAGUGUUUCAGUUAUAAUGUCGAUACCAAGACUGACAAUGCAGGUGCCAAAAUACGUCCUGGGCUUAGGGUAGUAACAAAUCAAAUUUAUAGAGAGAGUUCAAAUAUUUUUAAAUGUGAGAGAUCCGAAAAUUAGCUUAUUAAACUGCAGCCAGUCAAUAGAAAAUCAAGCUAAGGCUUAAAUACCAAUUAGUCCAGCAAUGUUUAUUACAUUUUAGUUAAAAGUGUUAAAUGUACAUCGGCGAUAAACAUUGAAAACAAUGUAGCAUAAGAAAGGAAAUGUAAAUGUGUAUAAAUUCAAAUGGGAAAAAUUUCAAUUGCUAAUACUUUAAAAGCCUUCACGUAGAAUAAUUUGUAGUCGCAUCCUGAGGCAAGUUUAGACUAACUGCAGAUGCGAACACGUUAAUGCAACAGGCUGUGUUAUUGAAAUCAAAAUAGGAUAAGAAUUUGGCUUAAAGACAUAAUUUAUUACAAUGUAACGCAAUUUAAUACUUUUGUACAUAUACGCAAUUAUUUAUAUAAAA